rnacentral:rRNA from 1 species
AUGACAUUACUGGAUUAUAUUGACUUGGACUAUGAUGAGUAUUAUGUCAAAUUAGAUGUUAUUGUUUUGACCACUUAUGAAGAUAGCGUCGAAAAAGAUGGCAAUGUUGAAGAAGAAGAUGAUGCUAACGUUGCUCAAUCUGAAAAUGUAGCUGAAGCUGCAGCAUCCCCGCCAAUUUCAGAACAAGAUGCUACUGGUACAACAUGCUUGUCAAAGUUAGAACAAGAACUAUGUGGUACAACAUCUUUGUCGAUGGUAGAAUAUGGUGCCGCCACAUUCCUAUUAAAGGCAGAAGAAGCUAUGCAGCCUAAAAAUCAGGUGUUUCUUGCAACAAGUGAUGUUGCAAAAGAGGCUAUGCAGUCUAGGAGUCAUGAGCUUAUUGUAGCAAGUGAUUGUGUGGGCAAAUCUAUGCAGUCAGAACAUGAGGCCGAAGUUGUCCUAUUCUUGUCAGUGACAGAGCAAGGUGCUGCCACAUCUUUGUUAUUAAAAAAUCAAGGUACUAUCACAUCCUCAUUAAGUGAAAACAAGGCCGUGCAGUCCAAAGAUCAGGUGUUUGUUGCAGCAGUUGAUUGCGCAAAAGAGGCCACAAGAUCUGAAAGUACAGAGAAAGUUGUUGUGUCUCCAUCAAUGACAGAAGGGGGUGCUACCUGCAAAUGCCACAAUGUGGGACAAUUAUGCUGCCCUCAUAUCGUGCAAGAUGGCGUUGAUUUACGUAUUUCCCAUGGUGGAGGCCAUUCACAUGGUGAAACUGGUUCCAGCACAGUACCAUGCACCAAAUCAGAAGGAUCGAUCAAGCAUGAAGGACAUAGUGGAACCAGAGUGAAGAUUAACGCUGGAAAUGCUAUGGUCAGCACAGGAAUCUACGAUCUUCAUGAAGAACCAGAGGGAGACACUGAGAAGGAUGAGAACCGUGAUUUGGAAGCAGAAGUGGCAGUACUCUACCCGGAAGUGACCCAGGAUGUUGUUGCUGUGUCCGUGUAUCCUGGGGGCGAAGAUAAGGAGAACAGUCGGUUUGGGAAAUUCUACAACAAGAUUAAAGGAAAGAAACGAGUCAACACCUCUUCUACAGAAUGCAACACACAGUUCAACACCGUCUAUAGUACAGGAGUGCAGCCAACGCAUGGAAAUAAUGGAGUUAGUGUUGUAGGAAGUGUUGGGAAUAGUACGGGCAGCACAUCAAUCUGCAGUCUUAACUGUGAAGUUGUGAUGUGCACCUACCAAGAAUGCAGCAAUACAUCCAAGGGAAGUACAAGGUAUUGCAAGAACCACGACAGUCCUUCAAAGGGCUGCAUGGUUAAAGGUUGUACAAAUGUUGCACAUGGAGGCACACCUCUAUGCAUUUUCCAUAGUUCAAGGAUGCACAAAAGGAGGGGCUGUGCUGUCAGUGGAUGCACCAAGGGAGCGUGUAGUAGCAGUCAAGGCCGCACAGACCGUUGUGUGAAGCACGGUGGCGGCAAGAGAUGUAAAUAUGAUGGUUGUGGGAAGGGUGCUCAAGGGAACACAGAUUUUUGCAUUGCGCAUGGUGGGGGAAGGCGAUGCGAGUUUCAAGGAUGCGAGAAAAGUGCACAAGGGCGAACUGAUAGUUGUAUCAAACAUGGUGGCGGCCGACGCUGCAUGGUUCUAGGAUGUAACAUGAGUGCAGCAUAUGGGACUGAUUUAUGCUCUAUGCAUAGAACAAGUUUGCUGAGUGGCUAUAAUUCUGCCCAUGAAAUGCUGCCAGCACCAGCGCCUGAACGUCGGGCCAAGGAGGCAGAACCAUCCAAAAGAAGAAACUCACACUCAGUGACUAGAGGGGAAAGGGCUCAAAAUAGGCAGAACACCGAUGAAUAUGUUAACAACAUUAGAAGCGUGAGUGAUGUUAAGAUGGUAGAGGAAAAGGGCAGAGUUUUGAUUUGUCAGAAUAAUACGCUGAAGCGACAGUGA